GCAGUUCCUUCCUGGCUGCCUUUUACCUUUUUUCUCAGAAGAAAGCCUCGUGUGCCCCACGACCCCUGCCCUGCAUACGUGCCCUUUGACAUGGUGGAAGGUGGUUGGCCCCACGGCUUCCGCAGCCUCAGACUUCGAUGCCAAUCUUGAGGAAGCUCCGUCCCCCGAUUCCAUCUUGGCUCUCGCAUGGUGUACCCCAAUCAGCAUGGCAGACUACCAAACAGGAGCUGGUUCCAGGAUGGGCAUGCAUGGCUCCCUCUCUUCCCCUUCUUCACUCCCUUCCCUUCUUGUCCCAGUCUGGUCUUUCCCCUGGUUCCUCCAAUUCUUCCUCCUGUCAUUUUUCCUCCUUCUCCAUCUUCCUUUGACCCUCCUUUUCCCUCUAGAGAGACCCUGGGAAAAUGAGGCACCGUUGCCUGGCAGGAUUGUGACAUCAGCAUUUCAGAGGGGGCAGAUGAGGAGAGAAAGGCAAGAAAGGAUGAUGGGGACUGGGGUGGGUAGAGCAGAGCCACUCCAAGAAGGGAAGGUUGAAUAUGGGGCUUCUAGAUGGGUGACCCUGGGCAAGUCACUUUACCCCUGUGGCCCAGGCCUUACCACUCUUCUGCCUAGGAACCAAAACUUAAUAAGGGAAGGGGUUAAAAAAAAGAAUAUGGCGGUUCUUCAUCUGGGUCCACUUGCAAAGCUCAUUUACUCUUUCAAUGGACUGUAAGGAAAUUAGGAACCCCGAGAAUGUUGUCUUUGUAGUCUUCGGUAUUCAGAAAUGUCCUUCUGGGAAGAAGUAGGGAGGCUUCCCCAGGGGCCGUGCCCACGUGCCCACGGGCACCAUGAUGCCCAAAGCUGACUUUGUAGAGGAAGAGGCAGUUCUGGCCCUGGUCCGAAUGCCAUUCAUGCUUAGAAUUGGCCUCACUUCCUUCUGGGACUUCUUUUCUUCUACCAUAGGUACUAAUGCAAUCUCUGAGACCAUGAUGCAACCGAGUAUGUAUCCAGUCCCUGCUGCUAAUCUUGAUCUAAAACACCAUGAACACAGGAUCUCCCCCAGCCAGCCCUGCCCCAUCCAUAUGUGGAACAAUCAAUUACAACAAAUGGAGAGAUUUUGAAUACUGUGGAUAAGUUCGCCUCCAGAGAUGUGCCCAUGGGUGAGGGCAGAGUGGGAUGGAUAGAGCAUUCAGCUUGGAAGCAGAAAGACUCAUCUUCAUGAGUUCAAAUCUGGCUUCCGAUACUUACUAGCUGUGUGACUCUGAGUGAGUUACUUCACCCCGUUUGCCUCAGUUUCCUCAUCUGUAUAAUAAGCUGAGGAGAGAAUUGGCCAGAAUAUCCCCAAAGGAGUCACAAAGAGUCAGAUAUGACUGAAAACCCGCCUAAACAACCACCACAGAAGUUACCUUUGAUGAACUCAAGUCAGCUGGGCUGUAAGCACUACGUCUAAGACUGCAUUCCCUUUGAUCCAGGAAUACCACAGGCAACAGAAAGGCUCAGGAUCAUCAGUUUGGCACUAAUGAGAACUUGGAGUUCAUCUGACUCAACCUUUUCAUUUUACAGAUGAGGAAACCAAGACCUAGAGAGAGGAAAUGAUUGGCCCAAGAUAUCUCCCAAUAGCGAUCCAGCAGAGAUGCGAACCCAAAUCCAGCUCUCCUCCCCCUGGGUCUGUCUCCUGGGGCAUAGGAGAGUCCUCUGCCCAUCACAAGAGCAGUUCUGCCCGCAGUCAGUCAGCAGGGUGGUGACUUCCAUCCUCCACAAUGCUUGCCACAUUUCCUUCCUCGUGUGGAUGAAGGUAAACGCUGCCUCCACAAGGUUCUGUACUAGCUAGACCCUGACUUGGGCUUCUUCCUGUUCUUUCCAUUUAUUCAAUCAUUCAUUCAUUUUUUAAGCAGCUAAUACCCCUGAGGAAACCCGCUAGGAGCUGGCAAAGCAACGACAACAUGAAACCACCCCUGCCCGAGAGGAGCUUCCCCUCUCCUGGGGGACACAAGAUGGAAGGCAACAUGGAGCACAGACAAAAAUCCUUUCUGGGGAUGGGGACUAGGGAUGAUGGGAAAGAGCACUGGCAUCUCUCCCCUCCUCCUCCUCCUUCUCCUCCUCGGUGCUGGGAUCCCCUCGCAAGGUCUCCCUCCUCCCUCUCUCUUCCACAGCUUUGCUUGGAGUUUCCAUAGUGACAGGCUUGGAGGACUCCCCAGGAAUCCCAGAGCCAUCUCCUGGACCUCCCACAUGGCUGAGGAGGGGGCAGCCCCAGGCCCACUCAGAUCGCUCUUUGUCUCUCACUCCUCUGUCCAACAAGAAAGUGGGCACUUACUUCUCUGCACUGACUCUGUCUCCUUUGAUCCCCAGACACUUCUCAGCCUCACACCUGUCCCAACUGCCACCAACAGCUUCCAUGGGUCAGGGUUCCUGGCCCCUGAUUGGGCCGAGGACAGAAUUUCUGGGCAGUGUCUCCUGUGACUGUCAGCAGGGCAGUCCCUCCUCUGAGACACCGUCCAGUCCACCACCAAAGCGAGGCUGGGAGGUGAUUCAGAGGAAAUGGCUCUCUUCAGGGCCCUCCUGGCCAAUCCCAUGGCCCUGGGCCAUAGGGGUAUGGGCUGGGAGGUUCUUUGAACAAUCCGGGCCUUCUGCCUCCUACUCUAGCUGUCUUUCCCUUGGCCACAGGCCUACCUGCCUCCUUCCUUCUCCUCUAGCCAAUGGGAAGAGCCUCUGGAUGAGUAUCCCGCCUCUAGUUUCUCCAUGCAGGACUCCGCCAUUAGGUCAAACUGCCUUAAGUAGGGCUUUUGUGACAGUCAUAACUUGGGGUCUGCGUGGCUGGAACAAGCGCCACCAGCCGGUGGAUGAAUGGCCCAAAGGCCACUCUCACUUGAGCAGGAAGAGGAACAGCGAGCCGGCCGUAAAGCCCACCCUCGGCAAGCUUCCCACUUUAACAAAGAAUGAACUUCUCUGGGCACCCCAAAAUUCUGCCCUGCUCUCCCACAGGCCCUCCGUGAAUGUGGGGCACAGACCUCUGUUCUACUCCUGGAACGUCUCCAUGUCAACUAUUCCUCACUGGCUCUCUGGACGGUGACCGUCUUCAAGGUGAAGGAUCAGCCUCCCAAGGAGGGCUCUGGCAAGGACCUUCUCUGAGAGUCGGUGGAGGCCUCCUUCAUCUCCUGGGUGCCCCUGGAGACGUUCAUGGCCACUGCAGGUCAGCCCAUGAGGCCCGGCUGCAGGACUCUGGAUGACGGACGAUGGAUGCUCUCCUGCGUUCCCACUGGAGUCAAGCUGGGCUGUGUGCUUGCUUUCACCUCUGUUUGAACUGUCUCCAGAAGAUCCAGAAGAUCACCCGGUGAGAUAAGAGGUCCUUUCUCCAGCUGGGCUGCCAAGCUUUCAGAUCUGACUCCAGAGGGCACAACUCCAGUGGACUGGCCACAUGGUUCGCAUGCCUGACAGACCAUUUCAUGGAGAGUCCACACCGGGCAAGGGCUCACCGAGUUGAGACGCACUACAAGGACACGUUCAAGGUCUCUCUAUAGAACUUCAUUAUCGAUUGGGAGGCAUUGGCAGCACCCUGCAGGUGUGCCCCAUCCAAGAAGGGGCUGGACGCUCUGGGGAAGGAGGAACGGCAGUAGUUCAGAAGAUCCGUGACAUCCGCAGAGUUCAAGCCACCUCCAUCCCAGACGUUCAUACAGGCUACUUGUGCCCGUCCUGUGGUAGAGUGGGGUGGUCCGCCAUGGCCAGGCACACUGUGCGCUGACCCCGACCCAAUCAUGCCAUUUUGGUCCUCUUCUCGUAGACCAACCAACCAUUCUAACGAACGUCGCUGAAAACUGCUGAGCUCGAUCGUUUCUAAAAGGAGCAGCAGCACUCGGUAACUUUGGUUACUAUCCACUAAAGGCAGCACUUGGUGACUUUGGUUACUAUCCACUAAAGGCAGCACUCGGUGACUUUGGUUACUAUCCACUAAAGGCGGCACUCGGUGACUUUGGUUACUAUCCACUAAAGGCAGCACUCGGUGACUUUGGUUACUAUCCACUAAAGGCAGCACUCGGUGACUUUGGUUACUAUCCACUAAAGGCAGCACUCGGUGACUUUGGUUACUAUCCACUAAAGGCGGCACUCGGUGACUUUACUAAAGGCAGCACUUGGUGACUUUGGUUACUAUCCACUAAAGGCAGCACUCGGUGACUUUGGUUACUAUCCACUAAAGGCAGCACUCGGUGACUUUGGUUACUAUCCACUAAAGGCAGCACUCGGUGACUUUGGUUACUAUCCACUAAAGGCAGCACUCGGUGACUUUGGUUACUAUCCACUAAAGGCAGCACUCGGUGACUUUGGUUACUAUCCACUAAAGGCGGCACUCGGUGACUUGGGUUACUAUCCACUAAAGGCGGCACUCGGUGACUUUGGUUACUAUCCACUAAAGGCAGCACUCGGUGACUUUGGUUACUAUCCACUAAAGGCAGCACUCGGUGACUUUGGUUACUAUCCACUAAAGGCAGCACUCGGUGACUUUGGUUACUAUCCACUAAAGGCGGCACUCGGUGACUUUGGUUACUAUCCACUAAAGGCAGCACUCGGUAACUUUGGUUACUAUCCACUAAAGGCGGCACUCGGUGACUUUGGUUACUAUCCACUAAAGGCAGCACUCGGUGACUUGGGUUACUAUCCACUAAAGGCGGCACUCGGUGACUUUGGUUACUAUCCACUAAAGGCAGCACUCGGUGACUUUGGUUACUAUCCACUAAAGGCAGCACUCGGUGACUUUGGUUACUAUCCACUAAAGGCGGCACUCGGUGACUUUGGUUACUAUCCACUAAAGGCAGCACUCGGUGACUUUGGUUACUAUCCACGGAAAGGCGGCACUCGGUGACUUUGGUUACUAUCCACUAAAGGUAGCACUCGGUGACUUGGGUUACUAUCCACUAAAGGCGGCACUCGGUGACUUGGGUUACUAUCCACUAAAGGCAGCACUCGGUGACUUUGGUUACUAUCCACUAAAGGCAGCACUCGGUGACUUUGGUUACUAUCCACUAAAGGCGGCACUCGGUGACUUUGGUUACUAUCCACUAAAGGCAGCACUCGGUGACUUUGGUUACUAUCCACUAAAGGCAGCACUCGGUGACUUUGGUUACUAUCCACGGAAAGGCGGCACUCGGUGACUUUGGUUACUAUCCACUAAAGGUAGCACUCGGUGACUUGGGUUACUAUCCACUAAAGGCGGCACUCGGUGACUUGGGUUACUAUCCACUAAAGGCAGCACUCGGUGACUUUGGUUACUAUCCACUAAAGGCAGCACUCGGUGACUUUGGUUACUAUCCACUAAAGGCGGCACUCGGUGACUUUGGUUACUAUCCACUAAAGGCAGCACUCGGUGACUUUGGUUACUAUCCACUAAAGGCAGCACUCGGUGACUUUGGUUACUAUCCACUAAAGGCGGCACUCGGUGACUUUGGUUACUAUCCACUAAAGGCGGCACUCGGUGACUUUGGUUACUAUCCACUAAAGGCGGCACUCGGUGACUUUGGUUACUAUCCACUAAAGGCGGCACUCGGUGACUUUGGUUACUAUCCACUAAAGGCGGCACUCGGUGACUUGGGUUACUAUCCACUAAAGGCGGCACUCGGUGACUUUGGUUACUAUCCACUAAAGGCGGCACUCGGUGACUUUGGUUACUAUCCACUAAAGGCGGCACUCGGUGACUUUGGUUACUAUCCACUAAAGGCGGCACUCGGUGACUUGGGUUACUAUCCACUAAAGGCGGCACUCGGUGACUUUGGUUACUAUCCACUAAAGGCGGCACUCGGUGACUUUGGUUACUAUCCACUAAAGGCGGCACUCGGUGACUUUGGUUACUAUCCACUAAAGGCGGCACUCGGUGACUUUGGUUACUAUCCACUAAAGGCGGCACUCGGUGACUUUGGUUACUAUCCACUAAAGGCAGCACUCGGUGACUUUGGUUACUAUCCACUAAAGGCGGCACUCUGCCUCGUUUCUCAAAUUUCAAGAGGACUGAGUCAAAUCUGCAAGAAGCCAAAGUAUUCCCCAACUGGCAGAUGGUCAAAGGCCAUGAAGAGACCGUUCUUAGAGGAAGAAGUUGAGUCAAGGGAAAAAAUGCUCCAGAGUACUAUUAGCUAGAGAAAUGCAAAUUACAACAACUGGGAGGUCCAGCCUCCCUCCUAUCACAUUGGUUAAUGUGACAGAAAAGGAAAAUAAUAAAUAUCGGAGGGGAUAGGGAAAGGCUGGAACCCUGAUGGAGGCCAUGCUGGAGUGCAGUCUGGAGCCAUGGCCAAAGGACCACCAAACGAUGCAUGCCUUUGGACCCAGCGACACGGCUGCUAGGUCUGUAUCCCAAAGAGAUCAAGGAGAGGGACGGGACCUACUCGUACAAAGAUAUUGAUCGCAGCUCGUUCUGUGGUGGCAAAGAAUUGGAAAUGGAGGGGACGACCAUCCAUGGGGGAAGGGCUGUGGUCUGGGCUUAUGAUGGAGUCCCAAUGUGCCAUGACAGACAAAAUGAGCACAAAACACCUGGAAAGGCUUAUAUGAAGUGAUGCAAAGCAAAGUGAGCAGAGCCAGGAGUAAUAGCAAGAACAUACGAUGGUCAGUGCAAGGAUCCAGGACAACUCCAAGAGAUUCGUGACAAAAAAGGCUAUCGACCGCCAUAGAGGGAACUGACAAAGUCUGAAUACAGAUUAAAACGUGCCAUUCUUCACUUCA